UUGUGCUUAUGCUCUCUGCCUUAGUUUUUACUCUCUAAGCCUUGAAGAAUUCACAAUUUACCUAGAGCACAGUUUAAUACAUACGGGUGGGAAUAAAGGCCUAUAUCUCUGUUUCUCAUUUCCUAAUCACAUUUUCUACCUUCCUUAUAUAACUGAUACCUCUUCUUUUCCAAUUCAAUUGCUCACUUUUCAAGCUUAGGUGAACAAUAGUGAUUUGUUAACAAUAAACAUGCUCCUAGCCCUUCCCUCACUCUUCUUUACCCCUGAGGGCCUCCCUAAGAUUCAAAGCCGAAAUUCUGCCAUAUAGUUAGCACCUGGUGCAGCUCAUCAAAAUAUAAUAUCCUUUCCCAGAUGAUUGGAAAUCUCUGCAAUGCCGUCAUACAAUGAGGUGUGCAAGAAAGAGUUUGGGGAUUGAUUUUCAUCAUUAACUUGACAUUGCAUGGUUUUUGUGGGACUUAAAAAGAAAUGCAUUUUUAUUACUUUUAAGUACUGCACAUAGAAUAACUCCAACUCAUCAUAUUUUAACAGUUAUUUUUCUAGGGCAGGAUGUAUGUUAAACAUGCCUAUGUUAGAGUGUCUGGUGGAUCAUUUAGGAUCAGUGUCCUGUUGCUUGAUGAAAUCCAGAUCACUUCAAUGAAAUCCAGAUGGGGAAACUGGAUCUCUGGCAAUGGCUGCCAGAUCUUCUCCAUAUGAAAUCUCUCUAGUCUGUAUGCAAAUUCAAAACUCCAUGUCCUGGAAAUCCCAAACCAAUCAAGUGGCGCUCCGCUUCUUAGUUACUGGACUAAACACAGGGAAGCGAUUCAUUCUUCCCUGAGGAAAUAAGCAUUUCUUACAUACAUCUAUCUUGGCACAAAAAGGGCUGGCUAAGCAAAUUAAUAGUGUAAACAGGACUGCACGGGGGAAUGUUUGUCCUACUUAGGAGAAUAAACUUUUUAUGCACUUUGUGCAUAUCCACUUACAUACAAAUAAUUGAUAUGCUAAUUACAAAUGAUUCUUAAAGCCCCUUCCCUGAGGUGCUGUACUAUGCUGUUAGUCUAGUUUGAAUUACUAGCAUGUCCAGUGCUUGAAAGUAAUAAAAAUGCAUUUAAAAAUAUCCCAUGAUUCAGACUGGCUUUCCUCUAAUUAGGCUGAGUUAGUGAGGCUUGCCUGUAUUUAAAUAGGAUAGAUAUUUUUCCACUUCACCCCUAACACGUUUAAGAUGGUCUCCCUCCCCUCUCUAUUCCUCCAUCCCCCUCAACACGGAGCUGGCGCACACAAACCCCUUAGCUUCUGGCUCACUAUGCAAUGGCACUUGCAUCACCUCCAGGCAAACACAUUGCUUUUAGCCCCUGGCACACACACGUGCCCUUUUGCUUAUUAACUUGUUAGCUGGUUAUUUGAUAUAGCUUUUUUUGAGGAGUUCUUUCCUUUAGUCCUUUUUUUUUUUUUUUUUUGACGGAGUCUUGCUCUGUUACCUAGGCUGGAGUGCAGUGGCGUGAUCUCGGCUCACUGUAACCUCCGCCUCCUGGGUUUUCAAGCGAUUCAAUCUGCCUCAGCCUCCCAAGUAGCUGGGACUACAGGCACGCACCACCAAGCCCAGCUAAUUUUUGUAUUUUUAGUAGAGACGGGGUUUCACCAGAUUGGCCAGGCUGGUUUUGAACUCCUGACUUCAAGUGAUCUGCCCGCCUCAGCCUCCCAAAAUGCUGGGAUUACCGGUGUGAGCCACUGUGCUCGGCCCUUUAGUUCUUCUUUAAGUACCAAUGGACAUGGCUCUUUCCUGGUAGUACAAUGGGUUAACAGUGCACACAGAGCAAAGUCCAGCCAACGUAACAUCAGGCUUUUUCAUCAGGUGCUGGACACUGGGUUUAACUAAAUCUCUGUAUAGUCCUUGUCAACACAUCCCAACGAGGCAGCUCAUCAGUCUCGGCAGCUGCUAGGUGUAUGGCAAUGUCAGGCACAGUCGUUCAAAGCCAUAACAUGUCGAAGCAAAACGUAAACAGUAGUUUUUCUAGGCUACACUGAAGGGACAGAGCAGUGACUAAAGAAUGUGGGAGAGAGAGGAUUAGGGCAGAGGUUAGUGGGGUGCAUGGUGGAGAGCAGCUGAGAGGAAUAAUAUGAAUUUUGAUGUUAGAAUAUCCUAUGAAGCCCAGAUUAUAGUCAAGUCUGGGGUUCUUUUCAGAGCAGAGUUAUGUUAAAGGGUGUAAUUUUCAAGAUUUCCAUUUAGGAGCAAGGGAUCAGUCAGCAUAACAAGAGACCAGAGAAGAGGCACAUCAGAGAAACAGCACAAACCUACAGAAUUCCAGAAGACUGUCUUCCUUGAUACAAAUGAAACAAUAUACCUAUGAAGACUUGUUUACUCAGGGUGGGAGGGACUGUCAUGAUGGCAGGGCUACUUCGUGCAGUUCAGCAAACAGUCAUAAAAGACAUCAGUUGAGAGAGGAAGGAGAAUAUAAGAACUGUCCCUCUAACCACCUGGAUUUAAAGCCCUAAGGAUUAGGUGAGAGAAAACACCGGUUCGCCACUGCAACCCUAAACAAAUCCUGAGGACAGGCAGGGUGAGUUCACUGACUGAGGUUUCAGGAUAACUCAGUGAAGCACAGUAUCUCCCUCUUCCUAAUUAUCCUACAUUCUGACACACUUAGUGCCUCUUGAAUUUAAUAUUUUAAAAGACACAUCAAAGUAGGAACAAUAAAUGAAUGGCUCACUUUGGCCUCAUUUCCACCUGUGGCUAAUAUUAACAGUAACUUUAAUUAGUGUCUGAGUCAUCCAUUUUCCAGAACAACAGGUAAUUUUACAUCUGCCAUACCCCGGAGAGGCAGGAUAAAAGUUUAUUAAAUAGAACAAAAGCAUUUAACACAAAUACCUUACUUACAGAGGGCUGAGUUCAAAGUGCAAGGCUUAUAGAAUGAAUUAGCAGCUUCUGUUACCUUAAUCACUGGGCGACAGUGAGCUAGUGAUUAUCAAGGUAGUGUAGCUGUGACCCAACUGAAGAGAGGUAGAAUAAGUUUGUAAAGAAUUUUUUAUCAGUUCUUAGAUUGUAAUGAAAUGGGGAAUGUAUUAGCUUGUGCUCAUGCUGCUGUAAAGUCAGGAAACAACAGAUGCUGGUGAGGCUGUGCAGAAGUAGAAAUGCUUUUACACUGUUGGUGGGAGUGUAAAUUAGUUCAACCAUUGUGGAAGACAGUGUUGCGAUUCCUCAAGGAUCUACCAGAAAUACCAUCUGACCCAGCAAUCCCAUUACUGGGUAUAUACCCAAAGGAAUAUAAGUCAUUCUACUAUAAAGACACAUGCACAUGUAUGUUUAUUGCAGCACUAUUUACAAUAGCAGACUUGGAACCAACCCAAAUGCCCAUCAAUGAUAGACUGGAUAAAGAAAAUGUGGCAUAUAUAUACCAUGGAAUACUAUGCAGCCAUAAAAAUGAAAGAGUUCAUGUCCUUUGCAGGGACAUGGAUGAAGCUGG
rnacentral:lncRNA from 10 species